GUCAAAGGCUCUAGAAAAAGCAACUGAGUGGACAUCGAUUUGAUAUUGUUUUUUUUUUUCUUCAACUGUUUUGUCCUCGAGUAAAGUGAUCCUCCAUGAAUAUUCCAGGGCUCCUUGUUUGUCAGGAAGGCUGUCUCCCUUUCAUCUAUUCAGCCUUCUGAUAGACAACCCUGACACCUGCUCCCUGGGGAGACCCUCCGCCAAGUCAGCGCACUGUUCCUUGAGAGACUUCCCUUACUUUAUCAGCCCAUAAAGGAUUGUCACAGGUGACUAUAUCAGCUGAGGUAUGGAGCUGCUCCCUCUGACCUGCACCGCCGCUGAGAGGUCGAGGCACCACAUGGUCGAGGCACCAUGCACCGCAUCACAAGCGGAUUAAGGAAAAAGAGGCUGCAGUGUCACAAGCUGGAUCACAAUAGAAUUCAGUUUGCUGUUAUCCGAUUACCAGCGUCCUGAGAGGCUUUCACAGGCCCAUCCAUCAAGACUAAGGGGUUGAGGGAGAGCCUUGAAAACGCUGCUGCAGUGAUGUAAACCACUGAAGGAUUCAUGGUUAUUAAAAGGUGGAGAAAAUGGAGCCAAUCCAAUGUUCUGUAUCUGAGUUACAUUGGGGUUAAAGUGAUGAUCAUAAAGCAGCCAGCGGUGACUGAUAUGCGAGGUGACACCCGCUGCCUUAGGAUGAGGUGAUUAGCCUGUGUUUUCUAGGUAGAGUGUCUGUCUCUAUUGACAAGGAAUACAGGGAAGACUGUUGAGACAGUCCAGAGUGAUUACACCUACUGCCCACCGAAGUCCACUGUUCACAUUUCGUCUC